CAGCAGCCGCGGGUAAUACGAGGGGUGCAAGCGUUAUUCGGAUUGAUUGGGUGUAAAGGGUGUGCAGACGGCUUAUUAAGUCAUUUGUUAAAUUCUUCGGCCUAACUGAAGGUCUGCAAGUGAUACUGAUGAGCUAGAGGGUGGAAGAGAGAAGUGGAAUUCUCGGAGUAGCGGUAAAAUGCGUAGAUCUCGAGAGGAACACCAAUGGCGAAGGCAGCUUCUUGGUCCAUUUCUGACGUUCAUACACGAAAGCGUGGGGAGCAAACAGGAUUAGAUACCCCAGUAGUCCUGUCUCUUAUAC
rnacentral:rRNA from 1 species